CACACACCGGUUCUACGUCUGGCUUUGUCAGAUGUGCAGAAAGGCAGGCUGCUAAGACAGGAUGACACUGACGAUUAGAAGACCACUGCUCACACGAUAAGAUGGAAAUGUCGCUGAAGCAGUUGAUUCUGAUGCUACUCACAGUGACAGCAACCGCCAUGAUGAUACCAGGUCAAACUGCUAUAUGUCUGGAUAACCAACAGAAAACAGAGGAAGUUCCAUCUGGGUCCAACCUGAUUUUAAAUUGCUGUUUGAACACUGAGCAUAACGAGAGAUAUCGAAUCACCUGGUAUUUUAACCAUCAUGGGCCUUCAGUAACCAACUCAACCAGGCUAACUACCAAGAUCAAUAACAAAUAUCAAAAUUCUUCCAUGGAUGAAGACAACAGGACACAUACUUUAUCUAAUGUUAAUAGAAACCACAGUGGAUGGUACUUCUGCAAAGUCACAGUAGAGAUUCCCAGUUUAAGAGAAAAUUGCAGCAAUGGAACAGAAGUAAUUGUUUCGGACAGUGAAGUUACAACGUACCCGUCAAAUGUGACGAAUAUUGAAGGUGUGUGCAUGUAUGUGCGUGUGCAUGUGAGCGAGAGCGUGUGUAUGCAGUUCUCAAAAGGCAUAGCACAUUAUCAGGAGCUGCGUAGAUUUUCCAUUCAGUGUCGCUCUGCGUGGGUGUCAUUUGUCCACUUACACAGGGGAUAAAAGCUCUAGAUGAUGAGUCAAAACUGUUUCAAAGUGCUCACAUUCGUCCUGUCAGAUGCGUACUGCUCACAGGAAGUGCGUGGACCUUUACAUAAAAAGGGCUGACUUAACGACUACAUAUCUUUUAAAGUGAUCACAUAAAGCAAAACUUCAUUUUAUUGUAUCCAUGGUGUAACUUGAGAGUCACCAGUAAGUUAAAUGCGUUCACAUUCCAGGGCAAACUUUUCCUCCCGCAGACCCUCCUGCCCUGAGUGACAACUGGUGGAUAUGGGUGGUGUUGGGAGCGUCCUCUUUCAUCCUGUUCAUCCUGACGGUCACAUGUGUCCUGCACUCCAGAAGACAAGAAAGUAGAGAAGAGCCCAUCUAUGCAAACACCCCCAACAAACAGCCUUCACCUCGGCCGUCCAUGAGCGCAGCAGCGGUCAGCCUGAAGGCAGCUUCUUCCUUUCAAGACCUGCGGGCCCCGAGUCCUGCCAGCAGAUACGACGAAGGCAAACGGAGAUAUAAACACUGAACAAGUCACGGACCUCACAAACUAAUGCUACCAAAAGUCCUCACAGCUAAUUUCACUGGGACACUGAAAGAAACUCUUUUUCCUUUCAUUAUUGUCGGAUCUACAUUUUGUUCAUCUGGACUUCUGGUUUAGGGUUUUUUCAUUCAAACUGCACGUUUUUUAAAAUGUAUUCCUGCGCAGGUGAAGUAGCUUUUAUGAGCCACUAGAUGGCAGAUGAUGAAUGCGGUGUGAAUGUGUAAUUUCAUGUUUUUUUCCCUUAAUUUUUGUAUUUUAUUACUUGAUAUUGAAUAUGAUGAAUACUGAAUAUUUGAAAAUGUUUUCAAUAGCUUUUGAAUGGAGUAUGGAGAAGAUUUAUACACACAUAUGUAUAUUUUUGUAUGAUUUUUUUUAGAGGAGACUAAAACGUUAAUUUCUUAUAUAUCGACUGCGUCCUUAUUUUUAUUUUCAAAAUAAACGUGGCUUUCUG
ensembl:lncRNA